GGAGAGUAUGCCAUUAAUUCUUGCUCCUACCAUUAAAUUUGUAGUUUUUAGGAUUGUAGGGCAGCUAGUUAGGAAAACUUGCCAGCCUUCCUGAUAGUAAUAUUUCGAACUGUUUCCAGUCCAAAUCAAAUGAAAUAAGACUUGAUUAGAAAUUAGAAAGAAUUACUCCAAUAGAAAAGAGUAACAUCACUUUAGCAAUCAUAAGUUCAGGGAAAUUCAACAAAAAGAGGAUAGAGAUGACCUGCCACACUAUUGAACGAUGAU
rnacentral:misc_RNA from 1 species